rnacentral:rRNA from 1 species
UACGUAGGGUGCAAGCGUUAAUCGGAAUUACUGGGCGUAAAGCGUGCGCAGGCGGUCGUGCAAGACAGAUGUGAAAUCCCCGGGCUUAACCUGGGAACUGCAUUUGUGACUGCACGGCUGGAGUGCGGCAGAGGGGGAUGGAAUUCCGCGUGUAGCAGUGAAAUGCGUAGAUAUGCGGAGGAGCACCGAUGGCGAAGGCAAUCCCCUGGGCCUGCACUGACGCUCAUGCACGAAAGCGUGGGGAGCAAACAGG